UGGGCUGUGGCUCAGUGGCGGAGCACUUGCCUAGCAUGUGUGAGGCCCUGGGUUCAAUUCUCAGCACCACAU
rfam:Ictidomys tridecemlineatus contig011310, whole genome shotgun sequence.